GGUGGAGCAUGUGGUUUAAUUCGAAACAACGCGCAGAACCUUACCUUCCCCUGACAUGCCCGGUUUGGUUGCCAGAGAUGGCUACCCUGAUUCGUUUCGCCCGGGGCACAGGUGCUGGCAUGGCUGUCGUCAGCUCGUGUCGUGAAGAUGUUGGGUUUAAGUCCCGCAACGAGCGCAACCCUCAUCCUUAGUUGCCAUCAGGUUUGGCUGGGGCACUCUAAGGAAACUGCCGGUGCAAGCCGGAGGAAGGUGGGGAUGACGUCAAGUCCUCAUGGCCCUUACGGGUAGGGCUACACACGUGCUACAAUGGCAGUGACAAUGGGAUAAUCCCAAAAAACUGUCUCAGUUCGGAUUGUCGUCUGCAACUCGACGGCAUGAAGUUGGAAUCGCUAGUAAUCGUGGAUCAGCAUGCCACGGUGAAUACGUUCCCGGGCCUUGUACACACCGCCCGUCACAUCAUGGGAGUUGGUUCUACCCGAAGACCGUGCGCUAACUUCGGAGGCAGCGGGCCACGGUAGGAUCAGCGACUGGGAUGAAGUCGUA
rnacentral:rRNA from 1 species